AUGGAGUCCCUCGGCACUGUGAUAGUGCUCCUGUGGCUUCAGUGCAUCUGGGUGAGCGGCCAGCAGAAGGAGGUAGAGCAGAGUCCUGAGUCCCUCCAUGUUCCAGAGGGAGCCACCGCCUCUCUGAACUGCACUUACAGGGAUAGUGCUUUUCUGUACUUCUACUGGUACCGACAGUGUCCUGGAGAAGGCCUUGUGCUUCUGGUGUACACAUACUCCAAUGAUGAGAAAAAGGAAGGAAGAUUCAGAAUGCAGCUCAACACAGCCAGUCAGUUUGUCUCCCUGGACAUCUCGGGCUCCCAGAACAGCGACUCAGCCACCUACCUCUGCACA